rnacentral:rRNA from 1 species
UUUAUUGAGAGUUUGAUCCUGGCUCAGGACGAACGCUGGCGGCGUGCCUAAUACAUGCA